CAAGACUACGCUCAAGAGAAGCUCCCCAAGCUCAAGUCCACGACUUCCACGAGCUACUACGACCUCGACAUCGACCAUGCGAUUCCUUUCUAUGGGACUCAAGAACCCGAGGAGUACCUCGAGUGGGAGCGUUUGAUGGACGACUACCUCAAGCUACAUCAAGUUCCUCCCGAAGAUCAAGUGAAGUGCGCCACAAGAAACUUCCACGACUACGCCUCAUCUUGGUGGCUUCACACACCUUCGGAGUACUACGACAUGAGUUGGCCCAAGACGAAGAGAGCUUUGCGGCAAGAGUUUGUGCCUCCAACCUACACGGAACAACUUCGACGCCAAUUGGAGAACACCAUCCAAGGAUCCAAGUCCAUCGACGUGUACUUCAAGGAGGAGAAGAUUGCUUUGCGACGAGCCGGAGUGGACGACCCCAUUUCGAUGAAGUUCCACUUCAUGAUGGGAUUGCACAACGACAUCUCCAAGACUAUCUUCCUCGAGAACUACAAGUCCAUCGACGACUACUACAUUGGU
rnacentral:rRNA from 1 species